rnacentral:rRNA from 1 species
UACGGGGGGGGCAAGCGUUGUUCGGAAUUACUGGGCGUAAAGGGCUCGUAGGUGGCCAACUAAGUCAGACGUGAAAUCCCUCGGCUUAACCGGGGAACUGCGUCUGAUACUGGAUGGCUUGAGUUCGGGAGAGGGAUGCGGAAUUCCAGGUGUAGCGGUGAAAUGCGUAGAUAUCUGGAGGAACACCGGUGGCGAAGGCGGCAUCCUGGACCGGCACUGACACUGAGGAGCGAAAGCCAGGGAGCAAACGGG